CCGGGCCUCAGGUGAUCCACCCGACUUGGCCUCCCAAAGUGCUAGAAUUACAGGCGUGAACCACCACGCCCGGUCAAGAUUUCUUAAUCUUAGUCUCUUCAUCUGGGAAGUAGGGAUGCCGAUCUUCUUCCCACCUCACAGGGCAGCAGCGAUGAAGAAGUGGGAUAAUAUAUGCCCAGCACCUGGCUCUGCGUCUGGUACACAGAAGGGGCUUCACUAACGUGCCUUCCCUUCCUCUUCCUGAUUCCACUCGCCUGGGUUUCUUCCUCACCCACCUGGGCAAGCACUACCGGAAGCCUUCCUACUCCCAGCUCUCGGUAGAUCCAGGAUCCACUGCUCGUCCCAGUUCUCCAGCUGACAGAUCACCUCAGAUAAGGGACUAAGGGCUUGCACAGACACUCAGAACACAGACAAAGCCCAAUCUUCAAGCUGUGUCCUACCCAGCAAGACCAUGUUCCUGUAGUUCUCCAGCAUCACAUCUCGGUAGAGGUCCUUCUGACCCCAGUCGAGGUGGCCCCACUCCUCUCUGGUGAAGUACAUCGCCACAUCCUCAAACGAGAGCAGCUCCUGGAAAAGUAGCUGAUAAAGAUGAGCGUUGAUUUCCCAGCACAGAAGACAGCACCUGGAGUGUACAGCAGUAGAUGCACGAUAAUGCUCAUGGACAGAAACAAUGGACAACUACUACAGUAACAAGAGCGACAACUUAACACAGUGCUGAACUGUAACCAGAUACUGUGCAAAGGACUUCACGGGGCAUUUGCCAUUGAAUCUUCACAACUCGCUGUGAUAGGCACUCUCAUUGACCCAAUUUAUAGAAAAGAAAACUGGAGCCAGAGUGUUUAUGUAACUUGCUGAAGGGAGCCCGUGUGACUCCAGAGGCUAAGCUCUCUACAUCGCACUGUCUAACAAGGGAAACUCCCCGCACUGAUGAAGAGGGCUCAACCUGAGGAAGGAGCUGCUGGUGGCAGUGACUAUGCUGAUGAAGCAGAGGGGGAGGCACAGCUCACCUUCCCCCUGGCUGGUGGGAACAUGGCUUCCACGGCCUGGUCUUUGACAAGGGGUGGGAUCCUGGGCGUCAGGCUGAGCUGGAGAAGAAAAAAAAGAUAGUAAGGCCAGCCCUAAUUUGAAGCUCUCUUGCUUGGCAGAUCUGGGACCAGGAAUACCAAUGGGGCCCACAGACAAAGCUUAAUACAAAGUCCCUGUGUUUGGUGGUGGAACAUGUGAUGAAAUACAUGAACCACUACAGUAA